CAGGGAUAUUUUAUCAUUUAAAGAUAGCAUAAAAUAAGUUUUAAAAAAUAUUGGACUAGAGCCUGGAAAGCCUGGAGAAUACCUGACAAGAUGGCUAAAAUUAUUAUCUCAUAUAUAAUUAUCAUGAGUCUUAAAGCAACAGUGAUAUCUUCUCUCAACAUCCAGCAAUUACCACCAAAUCUACUAAUCACAAAUGAGCAGAGUGAAGCAAAUCUCAGCUGCCAACAUGGUGAUACCAACUAUCCCUACAUGUACUGGUAUCAGCAAAAGACCGCUGGUGUCUCAAUUGAGCUCAUUGGGAUGCUCCAUUAUGAAAAAUCCACUCCUGAGGACAAGUUUAAAGCACGAUUCAACAUUACAGGACACUCUAAAGGGGAUGCAUUUCUGCUCAUAUCCAGUCCAACUCCUGAUGACAGUGCAGUAUAUUUCUGUGCUGCUAGUAACACAGCCACACACCUUCCCUUUCUGUUUAACAAAAAGCUUCACACCAAACACCUGCAAAUAAGAUCUGUUUUCUGA